rnacentral:rRNA from 1 species
UACAGAGGUCUCAAGCGUUGUUCGGAUUUAUUGGGCGUAAAGGGUGCGUAGGCGGCGUGGUAAGUCGAGUGUGAAAUCUCGGGGCUCAACCCCGAAACUGCACUCGAUACUACCAUGCUAGAGGAUUGUAGAGGAGAUCGGAAUUCACGGUGUAGCAGUGAAAUGCGUAGAUAUCGUGAGGAAGACCAGUUGCGAAAGCGGAUCUCUGGGCAAUUCCUGACGCUGAGGCACGAAGGCUAGGGGAGCAAACGGG